UACGUAGGGGGCAAGCGUUGUCCGGAUUUAUUGGGCGUAAAGAGCGUGUAGGCGGCCAGACAGGUCCGUUGUGAAAACUCGAGGCUCAACCUCGAGAUGUCGAUGGAAACCGUCUGGCUAGAGUCCGGAAGAGGAGUGUGGAAUUCCUGGUGUAGCGGUGAAAUGCGCAGAUAUCAGGAGGAACACCGGUGGCGAAGGCGGAUCUCUGGGCCUUACCUGACGCUGAGGCGCGAAAGCAUGGGGAGCGAACAGG
rnacentral:rRNA from 1 species